rnacentral:lncRNA from 1 species
CGCCGGUUCUGUCCUGCAGGCUUCCUGUUUUAGGAUUUGACCAGUCAGGGUUCUUCGACUGAGACCCCCAGGGAGAAACAGUCUGGAAAGACCGAAGCCGUCAGGUCUGCUGAGUCCAAAGCCCCAGAGGGCCCUGCUGCCCUCUCCCUCCCCAUUUUUCCGUUGGAUACCCCUGGACGCCGAGGGGUGAUUGCGCGUGCGUCACCCUGCUCGCGCGAGUGGCUUGGUUGUCACCUUCUACGGGUUGGACAAGCGCGUGCGCCGGGCCGCAUCCGUUGCUUGGUUACGGCUUUCUCCUGCAGCCUGCCGGGUGCGGUUCUCCCGGCUGCUGUUUUGGCCUGGGGCUGCCGGGCGCGCUCAUGCCACCCGCUGGCGUCGGCCAAAGGAGAGGAGCCGGAGCCAGAUGGCUCGGUCCUCUAACCUCCCUCACGACUCCUCCCGGUGGGACGUGGCCUCAAGCCCCGGGCUGAGCGCUGGACCUCUUAGACCAGGGACAUCCGCAGGUCAGGCUGCGUCUGUCGGUGCAGAGGCUCUCUGGAAAAGAGGCCCUCAUGUGCAGCUGAGGAUUGGCCUGGGCCACCACAACUCCACAGAGUUUGGAGUCACAUGGUAAAAAUCAUCUCCCCAUGGAGAGUCUUCCCUGAUGGUGUACUCCUUCUGCCUUUGCCGAAUUUGUGACACUGAUACGCUUGGGUCCCUCCUUGUACUGGACAGAGCAAUGCAGAGCCACAGUUGGGGCCCCCUCUGACAAGGACAAAACACCAGUGUGGCAGUCUCUCCUCACCUCCCUUAUUUAUUUGUUUACUUAUUUAUAGACAGGGUCUGGCCUUGAAUUCCUGCUCCUCCUGUCUUCACCUACCAAGUUCUCCCAACACUACAUCUGGCUCCCUGGAUUCUUUAUCUGUACCGGUGGCAAAGGUUUUUAAGUCUAAAUCCUCCUGUUUGGUAUGAUAUUUUGAGUCAUGUGUAGCCUCAGUGCACCUUUAUUGUGGCCAGUCCAACCCUGGGUUUCAGACACAGUGCAAAUAAUGAUAAUAUCAGUGAGAUGGCUCAGUGGGUAAGGGUGCCUGUUGCUAAACUGGACAACCCAAGUUCAAUCCCGGGAACCCACACGGCAGAGGAAGAGAACUGGCUCACACUAGUUGUCCUCUGACCUCUACAUGUGUGGCAUGUGUGAGUACACACACAUAUACAAAUAAAUACAAAUAAUAAUAAAAAGAAUGUGAACUCAGUCUUUUUUAGUACUUUGCUUAUGCUGACUGCUG